UACGUAGGGGGGCAAGCGUUGUCCGGAAUCAUUGGGCGUAAAGCGCGUGUAGGCGGUUCGAUUAGUCUGCUGUGAAAGUCAGGGGCUCAACCCUUGAAUGCCGGUGGAUACUGUCGGGCUAGAGUGCGGAAGAGGCGAGUGGAAUUCCUGGUGUAGCGGUGAAAUGCGCAGAUAUCAGGAGGAACACCAAUUGCGAAGGCAGCUCGCUGGGACGUUACUGA
rnacentral:rRNA from 1 species